rnacentral:misc_RNA from 1 species
CAAAAUAAUUAUUCAAUUUUAUAUAUGAAAAGUUAUAUGUAUAAUUUUGAUUAUAGAAAAAUCAUUGUUUCCAUUUGGAAAACAGUUAAAAAACAGAACUUUUGUUAGAAAGGAAACAUUGGAAAACAACUUAAAGUUGUUCUCCAAAUCUUAGCUAAAUUUUGUAAAACUUGAAAACUAGUUUUCCAGCUCCUCAUUUAGAAAAUGGCACAUGCAAACACGAAAUUCUAUUUUCCAGUUUUCGUAGAGAACUUUUUCCAGAAAACUACUCUAGUUUUUCACAAGUUAACAAGCCCUUAUUUUUCUAACUAUUGCAAUACAGGCAGAAAAUUUAGGAAUGAGAAUAGAAGAGGCAAGGCUUUUGAUUUUGAUUCCAAUGCUAGCAAGCAAAAGAAUUAUGCCAAUGGCAUGAAAAAUGCAAAUCCAAGAAGGCAAGGCAUAUAGUAUAUAUGAAGGGUACUACAAACCAAAAAGAAAAAGAUAAUUAAACAAUAAAAUUCCAUAGGAUAGAAACAUCCAAGGGCUUUGUGGAAUUCUAAUAACAAUGAAAACAAGCAACAUUCCCCAAAUUAUAGAAACAAAUUCAAUUAAGAGCAAAGAAUGGUUCUACAUCUUGAACAAUAAAAGGACUUUUUUCUUCUAGAUACUCUUAAUCAAGAAAACCUUCCAACUCAAUAGUCAAUACUGUAGCAAGCAUACCAACUUUCAAACAUAAUGAGACCAAUUAGGCAUCAAUUACUCAAAAGUAAGGGUAUGCAUGGUUAAGGGUAUGCAUGGUUCUUGGGGGUUCCAAACCAAACAGAUCAACCAUACCAAACCAAUCAGAACCAUAUCAUGCCAAACCAAACUUAUUUCAAUGUUUUAGUUCUGUUCUAGUUCUUUACUAAGAACCAAACCAAAAUUAUACCGAAACGAGAACCAAUUUUAUACAACUAUUUUUCUAUAAUUUUUUUGAUAUAUUAUAUACUUUCAAUAUAAUUA